ACAGGGGAGGGAAGUGGGCAGUGAUUUGCACUGUCAUCACUGCCCACUUCCCUCCCCUGUG
rnacentral:pre_miRNA from 1 species